rnacentral:rRNA from 1 species
GGUUAAGCGACUAAGCGUACACGGUGGAUGCCCUGGCAGUCAGAGGCGAUGAAGGACGUGCUAAUCUGCGAUAAGCGUCGGUAAGGUGAUAUGAACCGUUAUAACCGGCGAUUUCCGAAUGGGGAAACCCAGUGUGUUUCGACACACUAUCAUUAACUGAAUCCAUAGGUUAAUGAGGCGAACCGGGGGAACUGAAACAUCUAAGUACCCCGAGGAAAAGAAAUCAACCGAGAUUCCCCCAGUAGCGGCGAGCGAACGGGGAGGAGCCCAGAGCCUGAAUCAGUGUGUGUGUUAGUGGAAGCGUCUGGAAAGGCGCGCGAUACAGGGUGACAGCCCCGUACACAAAAAUGCACAUGCUGUGAGCUCGAUGAGUAGGGCGGGACACGUGGUAUCCUGUCUGAAUAUGGGGGGACCAUCCUCCAAGGCUAAAUACUCCUGACUGACCGAUAGUGAACCAGUACCGUGAGGGAAAGGCGAAAAGAACCCCGGCGAGGGGAGUGAAAAAGAACCUGAAACCGUGUACGUACAAGCAGUGGGAGCCUCUUUAUGGGGUGACUGCGUACCUUUUGUAUAAUGGGUCAGCGACUUAUAUUCUGUAGCAAGGUUAACCGAAUAGGGGAGCCGAAGGGAAACCGAGUCUUAACUGGGCGUUAAGUUGCAGGGUAUAGACCCGAAACCCGGUGAUCUAGCCAUGGGCAGGUUGAAGGUUGGGUAACACUAACUGGAGGACCGAACCGACUAAUGUUGAAAAAUUAGCGGAUGACUUGUGGCUGGGGGUGAAAGGCCAAUCAAACCGGGAGAUAGCUGGUUCUCCCCGAAAGCUAUUUAGGUAGCGCCUCGUGAA